AGAGUUUGAUCCUGGCUCAGGAUGAACGCUAGCGGCAGGCCUAACACAUGCAAGUCGAGGGGUAACAGGAAAGCUUGCUUUCGCUGACGACCGGCGCACGGGUGCGUAACGCGUAUGCAACCUACCUCAUACUGGAGAAUAGCCCCUGGAAACGGGGAUUAAUACUCCAUGGUAUCAUUCUUUCGCAUGUUAGAAUGAUUAAAGAAUUUCGGUAUGAGAUGGGCAUGCGUCCCAUUAGCUAGUUGGUGAGGUAACGGCUCACCAAGGCGACGAUGGGUAGGGGGCCUGAGAGGGUGGUCCCCCACACUGGUACUGAGACACGGACCAGACUCCUACGGGAGGCAGCAGUGAGGAAUAUUGGUCAAUGGAGGCAACUCUGAACCAGCCAUGCCGCGUGAAGGAUGACGGCCCUAUGGGUUGUAAACUUCUUUUGAAUAGGAAGAAACUUAUCUACGUGUAGAUAACUGACGGUACUAUUAGAAUAAGGAUCGGCUAACUCCGUGCCAGCAGCCGCGGUAAUACGGAGGAUCCAAGCGUUAUCCGGAUUCAUUGGGUUUAAAGGGUCCGUAGGCGGGUCUUUAAGUCAGUGGUGAAAGCCGACAGCUCAACUGUCGAACUGCCAUUGAUACUGGAGACCUUGAGUACAAAUGAAGUAGGCGGAAUGAGUCAUGUAGCGGUGAAAUGCAUAGAUAUGACUCAGAACA
rnacentral:rRNA from 1 species